CCCAGUUCGGAUCGCAGGCUGCAACCCGCCUGCGUGAAGUUGGAAUCGCUAGUAAUCGCGGAUCAGCAUGCCGCGGUGAAUACGUUCCCGGGCCUUGUACACACCGCCCGUCACACCAUGAGAGUCGGGAACACCCGAAGUCCGUAGCCUAACCGCAAGGGGGGCGCGGCCGAAGGUGGGUUCGAUAAUUGGGGUGAAGUCGUAACAAGGUAAC
rnacentral:rRNA from 1 species